UACGUAGGGGGCAAGCGUUGUCCGGAAUCAUUGGGCGUAAAGCGCGUGUAGGCGGCCAGAAAAGUCCGCUGUGAAAACUCGAGGCUCAACUUCGAGCUGUCGGUGGAAACUUUCUGGCUAGAGUCCGGAAGAGGAGAAUGGAAUUCCUGGUGUAGCGGUGAAAUGCGCAGAUAUCAGGAAGAACACCCGUGGCGAAGGCGGUUCUCUGGGACGGUACUGACGCUGAGGCGCGAAAGCGUGGGUAGCGAACAGG
rnacentral:rRNA from 1 species